CCAUCUCCCUGUUUCCAUUCCCCACCCUCUCAAGAUGAGGUGUUCACCUCCGAGAACAGCUCCCUCUCCGAAGCAGCCAGUCACGAGAACGAUGACCCCCACUGUUUCCACCCGCCCAAGGGGGGACCCUCGUCCCCCCGCACCCGGGAUCACCUCCGCGCCGUGUCCGGCAGCCCUGACCGCCGGCCCGGCUGGCGAGGGCCCCCCACAGAGCUGGGCGGGGGGGCCACCAGCCGCCGCAGCUCGCUAGCCAGCCCUACCAGCCCGAACCGGACCCUGCCCCGGAGCGUGUCCAGCUUUGAGGGCCGGAGCGUCCCGGCCACCCCGGUUCUGACCCGGAACAUCUGCAGCGGGAACCAGAACUUCAGGUACCGGA